GGAUGCGAUCAUACCAGCAUUAAAGCACCGGAUCCCAUCAGAACUCCGAAGUUAAGCGUGCUUGGGCGAGAGUAGUACUAGGAUGAGAAACAGAAUGCACGUGUGCGAUAU
rnacentral:rRNA from 2 species